AAUUGAUAUUGGAUUUUGCCCGAGAACCCUAAGUCCUCUCCUCCCUCUUUUCUUCUCUCUUGCUCGCGACGGCAGAGCUCGGGCGGAAGCAAGCCGGAGUUAGGGUUUUUCACCUCCGGCGGCCGGCGAGGGGCUAACGUCGAGAGUUCUUCACCAUUUCGGAUCCUCUCGUCGAAGGGAAGCUGUGGACGCAAGGAGAGGUCGGAGAUUUGAGUUUUCCCGAAGCCCUAGCUACCCCUCUUCGGCUGUGAGUCCAAGGAACAUCGAUAAAGGAAAAGCUAAAGUAUGAAAAGAAGGCGACAAGGUGGUGGUGAUGAAGAUAUAGGAAAG